CACUGUUCACAGCUGAACUAAGAAAUUCUACUCCCCACCAAAUGAUGAAAGUACAUAAUCCAAUGGCAAUGAUAUGCUUGUGGAAUGUAUUACAAAUAUAUUCCGAAUGUAACCAGCCUUCGAGUAUGUAGUAGCUAAGACAGUAGCAGCUGUUGCUUGAUUCAUUGGUGGCAUUAUAACCCUCGACUGCUGUUCUGGUUUCCUAGACAUAGACAAGUCUUCAACCUGAUCUUCAUAAUCAUCAUCUGGAGGAGGUAUUGGAGGAGAUUACGUUGCAUAAACGCAUGCUGCAGAGGUAUUGGUGUUGAGGACAUGGCUUCACGAUCAGAACUCUCCAUUUUUAAUUUUCCACCUUCCAAAGCAUGCUGUAAAAAUCCAUGCUCUAGCAUACCACUCUGAGGGCUAUUUUCUUCUUCACCUGGCAUACCAAUCAACAUACUGCCUCCAGCGCCACUGAUGCCAAAUGGAAAAGCUGUACCAGUACUGCCAUUCGAUCUUCUGAAUGGCCGAUUUGUGAUCCUGGUGACACCAAGUUUCUUUACUUUAUCAUAUAGGGUCCGGGAUGGCACUCCAAAUUUUCUUGCCGCUUGAAGAGCACUCAUACCAUUGCGCACAGCUUCAAUAGCUGACAUUAUAUCAUGUCUUGUGUAUUGCUUGUAGCGUUUCCAUUCUGGUUUCUGUGUUGGUACGUAGUUUGCUAUAGCUGAUGAUACACUCACUGUAACAGUAACAUUCGUUUAUUUGUAUUAGUUACAACAUAAGCUUCAUAUUGUUGAUUCUAAAUUUUAAUAUGUAUAAUUUUACUGACUUUACAUUCUAAUACUUAGACAGAGCUUUUAGAAAUCAGGGAUAUAAAAAUCAAAUUUUCAGUUCAAUUCUUCAUAUCUGGUCAAUAGAUAGGCCAUUCUUACAAAAAAUUCUAAAUUUUGAAUCAUUGUAUGUAAUGUAGGAAGGUAUUAUGUGAUGUCUCAUCCAGAAUUCUCAUUAUCUAGAACUAAAAUCUAGUUAUUUUGGAUGUUCUUUAUACACAUCAAUGGAUAGAGAGAGAGGCAAUUUAUCACAAAUAUGCUGUUUCUAAUAUUUUUCUUAUAAUCUUGAAAAGAGAAAAUUUAAUAGUUGAUUACAUUUCAUUAUUUUCUAUUGAAUGAGAAUUUUGCUAAUAAUGAUACUUUGGUCAAGUCUGGUGUAAUCUCUCACAAAGAAAUAGAUAAGAAAUUACCUCUCACCUAUAAAUAGGUAAUUAGGGAUUACAUAGCUCCAUUAUCGCUUAUUUUUUCUGCUCAACAAAUUGACGUAAUAUCAAUACAUUGAAUUUAAAAUAACUAUAUCAGUAUAACUUGAAAUUUACGUAUCUAUGUUGACUUAUGGUAAAAGGGGCCUAAUGUGUUGUUACCUAUAUAGGAGCCAUAAGUUAAUUUUAAAUUUUAAAAUCAAAACUGAAGGGGUGAAAAUCAUAAGAUUAGACAAUUGUAAACGACUAAGCCUGAAAGAGGCUGGUCUUUGACUUUAAAUCACAGAAUCAAUGGGAAAAAAUUGAAAAAUCCACACAGCUUCCCAGUGUACAUCCGACAUUUGAGUUCCCUUUACAUUUUCAUAAAAACACGUAAGGUCCUGUAUUUCUACAUGAGUCUUGUACAUUGAUAGGUACUUAGGCGAAAACAGUACUAUGUACAUGACCAUAAUUUCACCUACCUAGUAGUGAGUUACAAAAAUAUGAAACUGGUGGUUUAUAUCAUCAAUCAGUGGGGGACCCAUAUUGUGUCAUGUAUCACGGGUAUUGCAAUGUGUGUAAUGAGAAUGACUAAUCCUCUAUCUCAUUUUUUUUCAGUCACAUUAUUACAGAUAUGCACUUAAGAAAAGAAAACUGAUAUUCAUAACUUUUACCUUUUGAAUCCAAGUAAAAUGACUGUGGUGAUGAAGAUGAUGAAUGCAUAGCUUUACUGCCCUGAAAGAGUGAAUAAGUUGAUAAAAAAACACAAGUAAACAAAUUAAUACAUAGUUAUACGAUUAUAAGUGCCUAAAAUGAUAGACAUAGACAAACAGAUAGAUGGGUAGGUACUAGGUAGGUAGGAACUGGGUGUGCAGAAAUAUCAAGUACUGCCCAAGAAAUUUUUCAUAAUGAUAGCUUGUGAUUAGUUGUUGGACUGAGGUGAUGCGCAUUCCACUAAUCAUUAUGCAUCUAUUUCACAUCAAUAACCUAUACUUUUAACAAAAAAAACUUUCUUUGGGGCUCUUGAUAUUUCUGCACACCCCAUAGGUAGGUGCAUUUAUAGGUAGAUACCUAUUUGCAAACAUUUCUGUGAAUUUUACUAUAAAAAAACAAUUAAGUAUAAGACUUGCUAUUUUAAAAGAUUAUCCUACAAAACUGGAUAAAUGAACCAAUUUCUCAAUACAUAAAUAUCAGUAAUAUCACACAUCACACUUUAAGGUAGUUUUCAUUUACUAAUGAUUUUAAUGGUUUUGGGCCAGUUUCAGAUAUUUCUUUUGGUUAUAGAUAAUUCAUUUUAAAGAAAGCAUUGCAAUAGGUGUUAGGUAAUUCAUGAAAAUUGAAACAAAAAAAAAAUGAAAAAUACUUACUCUAUCUUGACUAAAGUCUUCAUCCAUGAAAGAUGAUGUUUCCAUGUAUGGCGAAUGAGCAUCUUCAGACAUUGUUUCCAUUUUCAUACUCUGUAAAAUACACUUGCAAUUAGUUAAAUGUAUUUUUUUUUUUUAGGUAGGACAUGACAUAAUAGGUGAAUAAUAGUUCAUAUGCUAUUGUAGGAGAGAGCACCUCUCCUUUUUCAUCAUGAGUUUUCUAUUUACAAUUCAAUUCUGAGGAAAAAUUACCCAUCUCAGAUAUUUUAAUUAGGUACUUCAAAUUAAAACUAUAUGAAAAACACACACACACAUAAAUGACUAAAAACUGAAUCAAACGAGUAAUUUCUAAUUUUACUUGCAUCGUAUACUAAAAUUGAAAAAAAAGGCUAUAGGUGGAUAAGUAUGGUGAAUUUGCCCCCGAGAGCUUCGGGGUUGAUAUUUGCUUGGAAGGUGGGUACCCUUGAGCACCUUCCGUCAGGAAAGUUUCAAACCCCCAGACGCCCCCCCCCCCGUUUUUGAGAAACCCCCACUUUUCUGAAAUUACAAUAAAUAAUUUUUUCCCAGCUCCAUGUGAACAAAAAUGCGAAUAUAAUUUUUUAAGUGUGUUUUUGACCCCUAACAGGCAUGAAACUUACUAUUUUAUUUUUUUUGGUGACUUAAGUGACUGAAAAAUAGCAAAAAAGUGACCAAAAAUUUGAAAAAAGUGACCUAAAUUUCAAGAAAUGUGAGUAAAGUAUAAUUAUAUUAUAUAGCGAUCAUCGGAGAAUUUUUUUAGUAAACCCCCCCCCCCCUACAUGAGCGUAGCAAAGUGUUGAUGUAUACCCGGGAGGAUUUGGCGCCGGUGCUAAUGCGACGCCAGUUUUUUUGGGGCGAUGAUUGGGGGGAGGGGGUGUGUGACGAAGGAAUAAAAUCAUGUGUACUUUUUUUUGAAUUUUUUUACUUUGCAUAUUUUAGCCAAUGUUGUCAUUUUGAGGGGGGGGGGGGGUUAAAAUUUCAAAUUCGUCAACUUUUGAGGGGAAAAAACGCAAAAAGUUGCUGAUUUUUUUUAUUGAAAUGAGCGUAUUAGAUUUGUUUACUGCACUAAAUUAGAAUUUGUAUGCUGAAUUAAGUCAACCUAUUCGUAAAAGAAUAAACAAAAUUUUGAAAAAUUUACAGUUUUAUGGCUAAAAAAUAAUCUACUUGCACCUACACUAAAUUGAGCCAAAUAAGUUGAAUAAAAUAGGUAUGAAAUGGUGAACAUUUUGCCAGAGCGGAGCGUGGGCGAAAAUUUUGGAAAAUCCAAACUUGAAAGGUGUAAAAAAAAUGUUAUUUUCGUUACUGAACGUGAAAACUUUGGAGCAGAUAUCAUUUUGGGUCCUAUGUACGAAAGAAAAACAAAUUAGCCCGAGCGAAGCGAGGGCGAAAGCUUUUGAAGAUUUUCAUUUCGAGAUGCCUAAAAAACGAGGUUUUUUAAAUGCAAGGAGUUUAUUAUUUUUUUAAUUUUAGAAUUAGAAUCAUAAAAUGGUGACUGAAGGAGGAUUUUCAUGAAAAAUAUUGAUCAUUUCCUAAAAUUUUGCACUUUUUCUUUUUUACACGACAAAUCGUUAAAAAGUGACAAGUGACCAAAGUCACUUUUUUUGGCCAUUUUUGCUGAAAUAGUGACAAAAAGUGACUCGCACGUGAAAUAGUGACAAAGUCACUUUUUAAGUGACCUUGUUUCAUGCCUGCCCUAAAAAGCAUAUAUUUUUUUCAAAAAAAUUUGAGGUAGGCCGUGGUCAAAAAUUGAAAAAACUUGCAGAGGGGGUUAAAAUGGAUUCUGGUGUAAAUUAUUGUUUCUGGUAAACGAGGUGUCGUUUCCAUAUGAAUCGAACCCCCCAAACACGAAUAUGACGUCCAAUUUUAUAUUACCCUCGUCCACACCCCUCCAGUGCCUCUGCCUCCACCUCAAUUUUUACUAUUUUAAAAGUUGAACUAUUUUCAUAAUGUUGGUGUCGUUUCCAUAUGACUCGAACACCCCGAACACGCCAUACUUAUCCACCUACAGCCUUUGAACAGUUGAAUAAUUAAUGAAUUCAAAAUAAAGCAAUUGCUCCCAGAAAACUUUUGAUAAUUUGCACCAUUUUUAGCUGAUUGUGGCUUAGAUGGGUAUACAGAUUACAAUAUGGACAGCUGGAAUGCUGGAUCAAUUUGUGGUUAUUGGUUAUGGAUCACAAUUUGGUUGAGAAAUAUAUGGUUAUGGUUUGUUUUGAUCAUGAAAUUCAUAGUAAUUACUAAUUAGUUUUUUUUGGUCAUGGUUUUUCCUCUGCAUGAUUUGUUUUUGGCUUUUUCAUUUUUUCUAACCAUUUUAUAUGUAAAAUAUUGUUAUUUUCACGAUUUUUUUUCCUUUUUCCAAAAAUAAUUGAAAUGGAAGUGAAAAAAAUGAAAUAUUGAUCUAUAUGAAAAAAUUAUAGGUAACUCAUUUCAAAAUUGAAAAAUUCACAUCCGAGUUCAAAUUCAAUUAUUUCAAUUUUUGAAUGAAAAAAAUAAGAGAAAAAACAGAAAGUGGACAAAAAAUUGGAUGAUAUGGUUAUUUGCUGGGUAUUGGUAAAAUAUGGUUCUUGGUUUCAAUUAUUACACUUACACCUCCAAAAUUUACUCCGCAAACCAGUUUCAAUAUGAUUUGAAGUCAACUACAGGUGGUUUAAAGUCAUUUUGAAACUUCCAGCUACAUUUAAGACCAUCAUGAGGUAUCCAUCAACUUUUUUUCCAAGUUAGUGUUUUCCAGUUUUAAAACACAUUUUCCCCCAUCAAUUUUAUGCUUUGUUGAAAAUUUUAAAAAUCAUCCUUUCACCUGUGUUUGAGGUAGAAAGAUGAAAAUUCAAAGGUAUUUGAGGCGAAUGUGUAUUGUGUAGGUAUAUCUUACUAUUUAUUUUUUCCAAGUGGAAAGUAGAAAAGGGCAUUGGGCUAGUGAGCGUCACUCAUCCUCACUCUGACUUUGCUGACAAUGGUUUAUCUAGGAAAUGCUCAAAUUCUAAUUUCAUGUUUAAAAAAAAGUUGCUCAUUUAGCUAAAAUGAUACUUCCAGUUUUAAUUCUUAAAACUAGAUCCCUUCAUUCAUUUCUAAAAGAAAUGUAGAUACAUUCUAACAUAUUUGAAGUAAAAACUUUUAAAAAACAAAACUCACCUUAUUCAUGUAAGAAAGGUCUUGAGGCAUUGUAGGUCCAUUGGACUGUGGCUCUUGUUCUUGCCCAUCAUGACAGACUAGUGACAUAGGCUGUGAAGAAUCAGCUUGACCUUGACCAAGUACAGUUCUCAAAAUUGGUGUAUCUCUAUCUCUGUUCAUCAACAAACUUGACAACUUUUUUCUUCUCAAAGGUGGCAUACUUGAAUUACUGGCAGCUAUGACUGCUUCAUGACAGCUGUUCAACAUGGCAGCAGCAGUAGCAGUGGUAUGAGGUGUAGGAAAAGUCGCCAUAGGUAAACCAGUCAUGGGCCAAAUUGGCAAUGGUGGUAUUCUGUUGCCUAAUCGGUCUGAAUUUGAUGACGAUUUUCCAUAGAAAUGUGCACUUUUAUGGAAUGAUUGAUGUAAGCUAGUUGAAUGGGGUGGUGAAGAGUCAUUUCGAUCAUUUUUGUCAUCACUGGCGUUGGAUUGAUUCUCAUUAAUUGGACUAUUGUGAUUGCUUUCAUUAUCAUUGGCAUUAUCCUGAUCCCGGUCUCGAUUACUUAGGUCAUUUGGCAUUGAUGUAGUUCUUGUAAUACUUGAAUGAGCUCCGCCACUGGGUUCACGAUCACGACUUGAAGCAUCAUAAGGAGAUGAGGAUGUACUGAUACUACUAUUGUUGUAUUCACUCUUAUUUCUGUAUUCAUUCUCACCCACUAGACCUUUCACUUUCAAUGCCUCGGCAACUCUCAGUAAUGGUUCAACUUCUUCUUGAGUAAUGCUAACCUCUCCUUUGUACAUGUACUCCAAUAUUGCUUGUAUUUCACUGUACCGUAUAUCCUUCAGCACCACUACUGGAUGACUGCAUGACAGAUCCGAGAAGAGAUUUUGAAAAUAAGAAGAACACGCCGCCAACACCAUUUUGUGGCAUUUGAUGACUGAGCCACCCUCACAAGCUAACGUCACAUCUGUAAAAUCUUCAUUUCUGAAUAAUUCGCUGAACACCAUUAGCAAAUUAGUCUUGUGGUUAUUCCAUCGGAGGCAGUAUUGUUGUUGCAUUCCCGUUUCUCUUAUCAUGUAUAGUCCACCAAAUAAGAUUAUUAUUGAUUAUGGUACUUUUGCAGUCGCCUUCUUUUAGUAAUCCUUCUGCGUGUACAGAAUCCACGAAUUAUCCCAACAAGAUAUUCGUAAUAGUUUUUUCAUGUUUAAUCUGAAAUUAUAAAAAACAAAAACAAAAUUAUGAAUAGUUUUAUUAACUGAACACACGCACACACAUGCACUUAUUAAUAUAAAUAUAGGUACUUUAAAACACAUCUAAACCUACAUGAUAAACAAUAAACCUAAUUUGAUACUCAUGUCAAUGGUCAGCUGAUCACAGGAUAACCCUAACAUGGAAUAGUACAUACAGUACAGUGAAGUCUUUUGUUUGCAUAUUUAAUGUUGAAUGGUAAAAUAUUUAGCUCCGUAAGUGAUUGUUGAUUCUAUAGCAUGUUCAGAAAUUUUGAGCACUUUCAGAAAAUAUUUUAAUAGGCAUACCUACAUGACCGUUACAGUUUACAAAUCGCCAUUUCUGCAAUUCAGUGUAACCAACUUAUACUUUCAACACUAUAAUUUCAUUGAGGAGGAGGGGGGGGGCGCUUGGUAUUUCUGAGCACACUGUAGGUAUAACUGACCUAGUUACCUACAUAAAGCAAAAUCAUCCCUCAUCCUCUUGUCUUUCUUCUCUAUCACUGAAGUGAGACUACUCGUAUUUUGGACUAUAACAAUCAAAUUAAUACUUAUUUUCUCACGUACCUACUGUCUACAAAAUAGGAGUGCACAGUAUGUCUAAAAUUGAAUUUUAAAAAAAUGUUUCAAUUAAGAUUACUGAUUAUCACAUAUUAUAGACAAAUUUGUAAACAAACACAGUAGGUAAAAACAAUAUAAACAUGAUGAAAAAUACCUAAUUAAUGUAAUUAUGUACUCUCUAAAUUUGAAACAGUGAAAUUUCACUGCUUAGCAGUCACGACAUUUUGGCUUCUUAAAAGCAGUAGUUUUUUACUGCAAAACAGUGAAAAAUCUACUGAAUUGGUCAGUAAAAAUCAUUUUUACUGAUCAAUUCAGUAAAUUUUUUACUGUUUUGCAGUAAAAAACUACUGCUUUUAAGAAGCCAAAAUGUGUGAAAUUUCACUAUUUCAAAUUUAGAGAGUAAUAAGUACAACGAUUUUUUAAUAUAUUUCAACAAAACAGGUAAGUAUUUAAAUAUUAGGAUACCUUUACCUACUCAUUGUGAAUAUUUUCGUUUCGCCGAAUGGAUCUCAUUUUUAUAUCAUUUAAAAAUAAAAGUAAAUUUCAAGACUUUCAA